rnacentral:rRNA from 1 species
GAUUAAGUUAUUAAGGGCGCACGGUGGAUGCCUUGGCACUAGAAGCCGAUGAAGGACGUUACUAAAGACGAUAUGCUUUGGGGAGCUGUAAGUAAGCUUUGAUCCAGAGAUUUCCGAAUGGGGAAACCCAGCAUGAGUUAUGUCAUGUUAUCGAUAUGUGAAUACAUAGCAUAUCAGAAGGCACACCCGGAGAACUGAAACAUCUUAGUACCCGGAGGAAGAGAAAGAAAAUUCGAUUCCCUUAGUAGCGGCGAGCGAAACGGGAAGAGCCCAAACCAACAAGCUUGCUUGUUGGGGUUGUAGGACACUCUAUACGGAGUUACAAAGGACGACAUUAGACGAAUCAUCUGGAAAGAUGAAUCAAAGAAGGUAAUAAUCCUGUAGUCGAAAAUGUUGUCUCUCUUGAGUGGAUCCUGAGUACGACGGAGCACGUGAAAUUCCGUCGGAAUCUGGGAGGACCAUCUCCUAAGGCUAAAUACUCUCUAGUGACCGAUAGUGAACCAGUACCGUGAGGGAAAGGUGAAAAGCACCCCGGAAGGGGAGUGAAAUAGAACCUGAAACCGUGUGCUUACAAGUAGUCAGAGCCCGUUAAUGGGUGAUGGCGUGCCUUUUGUAGAAUGAACCGGCGAGUUACGAUUUGAUGCAAGGUUAAGCAGUAAAUGUGGAGCCGUAGCGAAAGCGAGUCUGAAUAGGGCGUUUAGUAUUUGGUCGUAGACCCGAAACCAGGUGAUCUACCCUUGGUCAGGUUGAAGUUCAGGUAACACUGAAUGGAGGACCGAACCGACUUACGUUGAAAAGUGAGCGGAUGAACUGAGGGUAGCGGAGAAAUUCCAAUCGAACCUGGAGAUAGCUGGUUCUCUCCGAAAUAGCUUUAGGGCUAGCCUCAAGUGAUGAUUAUUGGAGGUAGAGCACUGUUUGGACGAGGGGCCCCUCUCGGGUUACCGAAUUCAGACAAACUCCGAAUGCCAAUUAAUUUAACUUGGGAGUCAGAACAUGGGUGAUAAGGUCCGUGUUCGAAAGGGAAACAGCCCAGACCACCAGCUAAGGU